rnacentral:rRNA from 1 species
CCUACGGGGGGCAGCAGUGGGGAAUAUUGGACAAUGGGGGGAACCCUGAUCCAGCCAUGCCGCGUGUGUGAAGAAGGCCCUCGGGUUGUAAAGCACUUUCAGUGAGGAAGAACGCCUGGUGGUUAAUACCCAUCAGGAAAGACAUCACUCACAGAAGAAGCACCGGCUAACUCCGUGCCAGCAGCCGCGGUAAUACGGAGGGUGCGAGCGUUAAUCGGAAUUACUGGGCGUAAAGCGCGCGUAGGUGGCUUGAUAAGCCGGUUGUGAAAGCCCCGGGCUCAACCUGGGAACGGCAUCCGGAACUGUCAAGCUAGAGUGCAGGAGAGGAAGGUAGAAUUCCCGGUGUAGCGGUGAAAUGCGUAGAGAUCGGGAGGAAUAACAGUGGCGAAGGCGGCCUUCUGGACUGACACUGACACUGAGGUGCGAAAGCGUGGGUAGCAAACAGGAUUAGAUACCCCGGUAGUC